ensembl:lncRNA
GCAUUUCUUCACGCCAUCCUUUCAAGUCAGAUGAAAGACCUCUUCCUAUUGUUUUCCAGAAUAAGUCCAAGGUUUCACAAUACCCUAAACACAUGUAGGAGUCAGCCUGUUGUGAAGAACUUUUGGCAAAGCCUCACAGGCUUUUUCUCUAACACGGCCAUUUGAAAGCCGGGCCUGGACUGUCUCUUUGAAUAAGACAAUAAUAAUACAUGUCAGAUUUCUUUUACCAGUGUCCAGUGUUCAAAAGAGGCUUUGGGAUGUUUUGUAUAAGGCAGCAGUUUGGUCACAUUUGUAAGGUUUUCAGUUGUAAAAUAUGCCUUAUUUCAGAAAGAAGAUUUGUUUCCCUUUGAUUUAUGUAUGUAAUCCACAUGUGAACAGAUGACUGACACUUGGGCCGAAGCCAGUGAGAAUGGCCUUGAGGAUGCUCGGAUGAUCUCCAUGUCCACUCUGGUUAAAACAUGGACGUUCUGAAAGGAUUUCCGGAUGAAGGAUCAGGCGAUUGGGAAGAAUGAAUAUCUUCUGUCCUGUAAUUCAUAGUGAAAGGAUAAGAGAGACAUUGACAUGUGCCCAACUUUGAAGCCUGUUUCCCCCUGGCCUGACCCGCUCCAUCAACACCGCUGCUUCAGAUAGACUCCAUAUGGCCCAGCGGCACAGCGCAGCCUCUCCGGACCGAAAUCUCGUGACUUACAGGUAGCUGAGGAUCAACAGAUGCCUUGUUCCUCACUCUGUGGAUGUGGUGUGAAGAUGGCAUGCCUUGGUGAACCAACAGUGCAGACGUGUUCCUACAAACAUUGAUGUUUGCAUGGAUAAUCUCUUUGUUUGCGCAAGCAGAGUCAUGAACUUCGUGCAGGACGGGUGCUGCGUUGGUGUAACGUGGUCUUGGUGCCCAAGAGCGCUUUCAACUGAAGGAAAGCAAAUGGAGCAAAGCACGUCCGUUAAAUGCAAAGGCCUGGACCCUGACAGGCAAGCGAUGUUAUGCUUUAGUAGUUGUUCUUGAAAUAGCUUCACAUUUGCAAAGAAUAUUUUGAACGCUAUGAGAUGCGUGUAAAUGUCAUAUGUUUUUCGUAACAAAAUGCAGAUUUCGAAAGUAAACAGCACUGUGUAUCUCUCCAGAAAUCAUCUUUGAUCCAUCUCAGGAAUUGAUCAGUAUCACUGUUUGUUUGAACAGAAGAGGUUUCUUAAUCAUCGUAGAGGACGCGUGUUCUUUGAACCAUAAAAUAGAUUAUGCACAUUGUAAUUUAUUCCAUGUUCAAACCCAUUGUCAUGACUUCACGGUUGCAGUGCACAGAACUUGUUGUAGCGACUGAGAAUUGCAGUCAGUGUUGGUGCAGCUCCAGCCCCCGCACAAGCUCUUGCACAAACACUGCAGGCUAAUGAGAAGGGCAGUUGUGAUGUUGGUGCUAAGGUUAGUUUCAGGUUCACAUGGCCGUGUGGGCACAGGUGGCCCGUCUAAGUGCUCUGAACUAGGGCAAACAUGGCCUGUUUGCCCUGCUGAUUGGUCUGGACUAGCCUAGAGGAAAGUCUGAGUCAUGAUUGAUGUAAACGCAACAAGUACAUUUACAGUAAACUGUCAGGUUAAAGUAGUGUUAGAAAGCAAAUAAAUACAAAUAAAAUCUGCUCUUGUCUUUUAAA